rnacentral:rRNA from 1 species
GCCCUUGGCCUAACACAUGCAAGUCGAGCGAACCUUCGGGUUAGCGGCGGACGGGUGAGUAACGCGUGGGAUAUGCCCUUUGGUACGGAAUAGCCUCUGGAAACGGAGAGUAAUACCGUAUGUGCCCUUCGGGGGAAAGAUUUAUCGCCAAAGGAUUAGCCCGCGUUGGAUUAGGUAGUUGGUGGGGUAAUGGCCUACCAAGCCUACGAUCCAUAGCUGGUUUGAGAGGAUGAUCAGCCACACUGGGACUGAGACACGGCCCAGACUCCUACGGGAGGCAGCAGUGGGGAAUCUUAGACAAUGGGGGAAACCCUGAUCUAGCCAUGCCGCGUGGACGAUGAAGGCCUUAGGGUUGUAAAGUCCUUUCAGCUGGGAAGAUAAUGACGGUACCAGCAGAAGAAGCCCCGGCUAACUCCGUGCCAGCAUCCNCGGUAAUAAGGGC